AUUCUGGUUGAUCCUGCCAGAGGCCAUUGCUAUCAGGGUUUGACUAAGCCAUGCGAGUCGAGAGGGUUCGGCCCUCGGCAUACUGCUCAGUAACACGUGGUUAACCUGCCCUAAGGUGGUGAAUACUCCCGGGAAACUGGGGCUAAUGCACCAUAGUGGAUGCUUGUUGGAAUACUGCAUCCUCGAAAGAUCCGUCGCCUUAGGAUGGGACUGCGUCCGAUUAGGUAGUUGGUGGGGUAACGGCCCACCAAGCCUGUCAUCGGUACGGGUUGUGGGAGCAAGAUCCCGGAGAUGGAUUCUGAGACAUGAAUCCAGGCCCUACGGGGCGCAGCAGGCGCGCAAACUUUACAAUGCGAGCAAUCGUGAUAAGGAAACCCUGAGUGCCUGUUGAUGCAGGCUGUUCAUCUGUUUAAAUUGCAGGUGAAGAAAGGGCAGGGCAAGACCGGUGCCAGCCGCCGCGGUAAUACCGGCUGCUCGAGUGAUGGCCACUAUUACUGGGUUUAAAGCGUCCGUAGCUUGACUGAUAGGUCUCUUGGGAAAUCUUAGCGCUUAACGCUAAGGCGUCUAAGAGAUACCGUCAGUCUUGGAACUGGGAGAGGUAAACCGUACUUCGGGGGUAGGAGUGAAAUCUUGUAAUCCUCGAGGGACGACCUAUGGCGAAGGCAGUUUACCAGAACAGCUUCGACAGUGAGGGACGAAAGCUGGGGGAGCAAACGGGAUUAGAUACCCCGGUAGU
rnacentral:rRNA from 1 species